AUGCUAGUAGCUUUGGCAGCACAUAUACUAAAAAUUGUAACAACACAGAGAAGAUCAGCAUGACCCCUGCUCAAGGAUGAUAAGCAAAUUAGAGAAGUGGUCCAUAUUAAA